rnacentral:tRNA from 1 species
AGAGUUUUUCCUUUGGUACGUACUCCCCUGCUAAGGGAGUAUGGGGUGUAGAGCCUCAUCGAGGGUUCGAAUCCCUCCGUUUCCGCCA